GUGUUUUUAUACGUGAAUACUCUCCGUGAAUUUGAGUAUAUUUCAUUGCAACAACUGGUAAUAGCAUGACGAUUGCUGCGACUGUGGCCAGCGUUGCUGAUGACACCGUCGCUGCUGAUCGUGCCACCGGCGGAACAGAGGAUGCAGAGGCGCCAUCAGCUACAUGGGUCAUCGCAACCGCUGCUCCGCACCACGCAACUGGGAACCCCACCCUC
rnacentral:lncRNA from 1 species